AGAACGAACGCUGGCGGGCAGGCUUAACACAUGCAAGUUGAGCGGGAACUGGAGAUAGCUUGCUAUUGAAGGGGAGAGCAGCGCACUGGUGAGUAACACGUGGGAACAUACCUUUUGUGGGGGACAACAGUUGGAAACGACUGCUAAUACCGCAUAAGCCCUGAGGGGGAAAGAUUCAUUGCCGAAAGAUUGGCCCGCGGAAGAUUAGGUAGUAGGUGGGGUAACGGCCUACCUAGCCGACGAUCUAUAGCUGGUCUGAGAGGACGAUCAGCCACAUUGGAACUGAGACACGGUCCAGACUCCUACGGGAGGCAGCAGUGAGGAAUAUUGGGCAAUGGAGGCAACUCUGACCCAAGCCAUGCCGCGUGAGUGAAGAAGGUUUUCGGAUUGUAAAGCUCUUUCAGACGGGAAGAUGAUGACGGUACCGUCAGAAGAAGCACCGGCUAACUUCGUGCCAGCCGCGGC
rnacentral:rRNA from 1 species